rfam:Triticum urartu cultivar G1812 contig272454, whole genome shotgun sequence.
CAUCUACUCCCUCCGUACGAAAAAGCUUGUCCCUUAAAUGGAUGUAUCUAGCACCAAGUUAGUGCUAGAUACAUCCAUUUGAGGGACAAGCUUGGGACAAGUUUUUCUGGACGAAGGGAGUAGUUU